rnacentral:lncRNA from 1 species
GCCUGAUUCUUGUCUCAUCUCUCUUUAGAGUGGUUUAAGUCCAUUGUCUAUGAAGGAAGUUGCUUCUGAUUUCCACCAGAGAGCUAAGAUGACAUAGGCUCACAGCCUCUGAGCACAGCAGUGGUACUGACAUGCAGAAGGCUCCCAGGAUCACAGCUCAGAGCCUCCGUGCUUUCCCCUGCUCUUGAAGUAAGAACCUCAGGCUGCCUGAAUGAAGUUUUUCUUAUAAGAAUACUCCAGUGCUAAUGACGACAACAAUGAAGGAACCAGCAAUUCAGUACUGGAGGAUGCUGCUGAGGGAACACUGACAUAAGGGCAGGUAAUUAGUGCUGCUGUUUCUACUAAAAUUAGGGGAAGGAAAAAAAGAAGUUUAGUCACUAGAGCAAAGGGAUUUUUAAAUUGCCAAGAAAUCUUAUUUACUGUGUGAAUCCAGCUGAACUAAGUAAGCUAAUCAGUAUGGUGGGCAAAUUCUAUUAACAGUAUAAAAAUACCAACUGAAUAAUUAAAUUGUAGUAAGGAAGAGUAAAUACUUUGAGGAAAAGGGCAAAACUGACACAGCCUGAGUAGAUCCAUGGAGUUACUCCUCUUCAGAUGUUUUCUGCCCCUCUCAAAUAAUCAAAGACAUAACACUGUGUACUGGUUCUAGCUGUAUAGAGCCUUUCACUAUUGCCCGAAUGAG